UACGUAGGGGGGCAAGCGUUGUCCGGAAUUAUUGGGCGUAAAGAGCGCGUAGGCGGUCCGAUAAGUCGGCUGUGAAAGUCAGGGGCUCAACCCUUGGAAGCCGGCCGAUACUGUCGGACUAGAGUCCGGAAGAGGCGAGUGGAAUUCCCGGUGUAGCGGUGAAAUGCGCAGAUAUCGGGAGGAACACCAAUGGCGAAGGCAGCUCGCUGGGACGGUACUGACGCUGAGGCGCGAAAGCGUGGGGAGCAAACAGG
rnacentral:rRNA from 1 species